GACGUAGGGUGCGAGCGUUGCCCGGAUUUAUUGGGCGUAAAGGGCGCGUAGGCGGCCACGCACGUCCGUUGUGAAAUCGCUCGGCUCAACUGGGCGGGGUCGGCGGAUACGGUGUGGCUAGAGCAAGCUAGGGGGCAAUGGAAUUCCCGGUGUAGUGGUGGAAUGCGUAGAUAUCGGGAGGAACACCAGUGGCGAAGGCGGUUGCCUGGAGCUUUGCUGACGCUGAUGCGCGAAAGCGUGGGGAGCGAUCCGG
rnacentral:rRNA from 1 species